UACGUAGGUGGCGAGCGUUGUCCGGAUUUACUGGGUGUAAAGGGCGUGUAGGCGGGGAAACAAGUCAGAUGUGAAAUCCCGGGGCUUAACUCCGGAGCUGCAUCUGAAAAUGUUUUUCUUGAGUGCUGGAGAGGAAAGUGGAAUUCCCAGUGUAGCGGUGAAAUGCGUAGAGAUUGGGAGGAACACCAGUGGCGAAGGCGGCUUUCUGGACAGUAACUGACGCUGAGGCGCGAAAGCGUGGGUAGCGAACAGG
rnacentral:rRNA from 1 species